rnacentral:sRNA from 1 species
GCGCCCGUCGUUGGGGAGUAGCCGAUUUCCAGACUCCGGAAAUGUACGUGUCAACAUACUCGUUGAAAAACGUGGCGCGUACGGACUGAACUUACAGGUUCAGUC